UACGUAGGGGGCGAGCGUUGUCCGGAAUGACUGGGCGUAAAGGGCGUGUAGGCGGCCGAUUAAGUCUGGAGUGAAAGUCCUGCUUUCAAGGUGGGAAUUGCUUUGGAGACUGGUUGGCUUGAGUGCGGAAGAGGUAAGUGGAAUUCCCAGUGUAGCGGUGAAAUGCGUAGAGAUUGGGAGGAACACCAGUGGCGAAGGCGACUUACUGGGCCGUAACUGACGCUGAGGCGCGAAAGCGUGGGGAGCGAACAGGAUUAGAUACCCUGGUAGUCCACGCUGUAAACGAUGAAUGCUAGGUGUAGCGGGUAUCGACCCCUGCUGUGCCGCAGUUAACACAAUAAGCAUUCCGCCUGGGGAGUACGGCCGCAAGGUUGAAACUCAAAGGAAUUGACGGGGGCCCGCACAAGCAGCGGAGCAUGUCGUUUAAUUCGAUGCAACGCGAAGAACCUUACCAGGUCUUGACAUCCAACUAAACUCAUGGAGACAUGAGGUCCCUUCGGGGGAGUUGAGACAGGUGGUGCAUGGUUGUCGUCAGCUCGUGUCGUGAGAUGUUGGGUUAAGUCCCGCAACGAGCGCAACCCUUAUGAUCAGUUACUAACGGAUAAAGCCGAGGACUCUGAUAAGACUGCCGGGGACAACUCGGAGGAAGGUGGGGACGACGUCAAAUCAUCAUGCCCCUUAUGACCUGGGCUACAGACGUGCUACAAUGGCGACUACAAAGAGGUGCUAGACCGUAAGGUUACGCGGAUCUCAAAAAAGUCGUCCCAGUUCGGACUGUGGGCUGCAACCCGCCCACACGAAGUUGGAGUUGCUAGUAAUCGCGGAUCAGAAUGCCGCGGUGAAUACGUUCCCGGGCCU
rnacentral:rRNA from 1 species